rnacentral:rRNA from 1 species
CCUACGGGUGGCAGCAGUGGGGAAUAUUGCGCAAUGGGCGAAAGCCUGACGCAGCGACGCCGCGUGAGGGAUGAAGGCCUUCGGAGCGGAAACCUCUGUCAGCAGGGAAGAACGGUCACGGGGCUAAUCAGCAGUGAAUUGACGGUACCGGCAAAGGAAGCACCGGCUAACUCCGUGCCAGCAGCCGCGGUAAUACGGAGGGUGCGAGCGUUAAUCGGAAUUACUGGGCGUAAAGCGCUCGUAGGCGGUAUGUCCAGUCAAGGGUGAAAUCCCCGCGCUCAACGUGGGAACUGCCUUUGCAACUGGCAACCUGGUGUGUGUGAUAGGGUAGUGGAAUUCCCGGUGU